GUGGGGAAUCUUAGACAAUGGGCGCAAGCCUGAUCUAGCCAUGCCGCGUGAGCGAUGAAGGCCUUAGGGUUGUAAAGCUCUUUCGCUGGGGAAGAUAAUGACUGUACCCAGUAAAGAAGCCCCGGCUAACUCCGUGCCAGCAGCCGCGGUAAUACGGAGGGGGCUAGCGUUGUUCGGAAUUACUGGGCGUAAAGCGCGCGUAGGCGGAUUGGAAAGUUGGGGGUGAAAUCACGGGGCUCAACCUCGGAACUGCCUUCAAAACUCCCAGUCUUGAGUUCGAGAGAGGUGAGUGGAAUUCCGAGUGUAGAGGUGAAAUUCGUAGAUAUUCGGAGGAACACCAGUGGCGAAGGCGGCUCACUGGCUCGAUACUGACGCUGAGGUGCGAAAGCGUGGGGAGCAAACAGGAUUAGAUACCCCGGUAGUCC
rnacentral:rRNA from 1 species